rnacentral:tRNA from 1 species
ACCUCGUUAAAACAGUUGGAAGAGCGUUAGACUUUUAAUCUAACGGUGAGGGGUUCGAAUCCCCUACGGGGUU